GGGAGUGUGGCUCAGUGGUAGAGUGCUUGCCUAGCAUGCUUGAGGCCCUAUGUUCAAUCCACAGUACCACUA
rnacentral:tRNA from 1 species